rfam:Colletotrichum orbiculare MAFF 240422 contig07383, whole genome shotgun sequence.
GGGAGGGUGGCCGAGUUGGUUAUGGCGCCAGGUUAAGGUCAGCUUAACAUCUGUUUCCUGGUGGGGCAACCCGCGCGAGUUCGAGUCUCGUCCCUCUCA